AGAGUUUGAUCCUGGCUCAGGACGAACGCUGGCGGCGUGCUUAACACAUGCAAGUCGAGCGGUAAGGCUCCUUCGGGAGUACACGAGCGGCGAACGGGUGAGUAACACGUGAGCAAUCUGCCCUUCACACUGGGAUAACCCCCGGAAACGGGAGCUAAUACCAGAUAUGACCACUUCCGGCAUCGGAUGGUGGUGGAAAGUUCCGGCGGUGAAGGAUGAGCUCGCGGCCUAUCAGCUUGUUGGUGAGGUAACGGCUCACCGAGGCUUCGACGGGUAGCCGGCCUGAGAGGGUGACCGGCCACACUGGGACUGAGACACGGCCCAGACUCCUACGGGAGGCAGCAGUGGGGAAUAUUGGACAAUGGGCGAAAGCCUGAUCCAGCAACGCCGCGUGAGGGAUGACGGCCUUCGGGUUGUAAACCUCUUUCAGCAGGGACGAAGCGCAAGUGACGGUACCUGCAGAAGAAGCACCGGCCAACUACGUGCCAGCAGCCGCGGUAAUACGUAGGGUGCGAGCGUUGCCCGGAAUUAUUGGGCGUAAAGGGCUCGUAGGCGGUUUGUCGCGUCGGGAGUGAAAACUCGGAGCUUAACUCCGAGCCUGCUUCCGAUACGGGCAGACUAGAGGUAUGCAGGGGAGAACGGAAUUCCUGGUGUAGCGGUGAAAUGCGCAGAUAUCAGGAGGAACACCGGUGGCGAAGGCGGUUCUCUGGGCAUUACCUGACGCUGAGGAGCGAAAGUGUGGGGAGCGAACAGGAUUAGAUACCCUGGUAGUCCACACCGUAAACGUUGGGCGCUAGGUGUGGGACUCAUUCCACGAGUUCCGUGCCGCAGCUAACGCAUUAAGCGCCCCGCUGGGGGAGUACGCCGCAGGCUAAACUAAUGAAUUGACGA
rnacentral:rRNA from 1 species